UUAUAUUUCAAAACGUCAUU
rnacentral:snRNA from 1 species